UGGCUCAUUAUAUAAGUUAUCGUUUAUUUGAUAGUACCUUACUACUUGGAUAACCGUGGUAAUUCUAGAGCUAAUACAUGCUGAAAAUCCCGACUUCGGAAGGGAUGUAUUUAUUAGAUUAAAAACCAAUGCCCUCUGGGCUUCUUGGUGAUUCAUAAUAACUUUUCGAAUCGCACGGCCUUGCGCCGGCGAUGGUUCAUUCAAAUUUCUUCCCUAUCAACUUUCGAUGUUUGGGUAUUGGCCAAACAUGGUCGCAACGGGUAACGGAGGGUUAGGGCUCGACCCCGGAGAAGGAGCCUGAGAAACGGCUACUACAUCCAAGGAAGGCAGCAGGCGCGCAAAUUACCCAAUCCCGAUUCGGGGAGGUAGUGACAAUAAAUACUGAUACAGGGCUCUUUUGGGUCUUGUAAUUGGAAUGAGUACAAUUUAAAUCCCUUAACGAGGAACAAUUGGAGGGCAAGUCUGGUGCCAGCAGCCGCGGUAAUUCCAGCUCCAAUAGCGUAUAUUAAAGUUGUUGUGGUUAAAAAGCUCGUAGUUGAACCUUGGGCCUGGCUGGCCGGUCCGCCUCACCGCGUGUACUGGUCCGGCCGGGCCUUUCCCUCUGUGGAACCUCAUGCCCUUCACUGGGUGUGGCGGGGAAACAGGACUUUUACUUUGAAAAAAUUAGAGUGCUCCAGGCAGGCCUAUGCUCGAAUACAUUAGCAUGGAAUAAUAAAAUAGGACGUGUGGUUCUAUUUUGUUGGUUUCUAGGACCGCCGUAAUGAUUAAUAGGGACAGUCGGGGGCAUCAGUAUUCAAUUGUCAGAGGUGAAAUUCUUGGAUUUAUUGAAGACUAACUACUGCGAAAGCAUUUGCCAAGGAUGUUUUCAUUAAUCAGNAACGAAAGUUAGGGGAUCGAAGACGAUCAGAUACCGUCGUAGUCUUAACCAUAAACUAUGCCGACUAGGGAUCGGACGAUGUUAUUUUUUNGACGCGUUCGGCACCUUACGAGAAAUCAAAGUGCUUGG
rnacentral:rRNA from 1 species